GGCUAUUAGCUCAGUGGUAGAGCGUACCCCUGAUAAUUACGUGGCGAGGUUUCUGGUUUAAGUCCAGGAUAGCCCAA
rnacentral:tRNA from 1 species